rnacentral:rRNA from 1 species
UACGGAGGGGGCUAGCGUUGUUCGGAAUUACUGGGCGUAAAGGGCUUGUAGGUGGCCAACUAAGUCAGACGUGAAAUCCCUCGGCUUAACCGGGGAACUGCGUCUGAUACUGGAUGGCUUGAGUUUGGGAGAGGGAUGCGGAAUUCCAGGUGUAGCGGUGAAAUGUGUAGAGAUCGGGAGGAACACCGGUGGCGAAGGCGGGUCUCUGGGCAUCUCCUGACGCUGAGGCGCGAAAGCGUGGGGAGCAAACGGG